GACAGAGGGUGCAAACGUUGUUCGGAAUUACUGGGCGUAAAGAGCUUGUAGGCGGUUUGUCGCGUCUGCUGUGAAAAUCCGAGGCUCAACCUCGGACUUGCAGUGGGUACGGGCAGACUAGAGUGUGGUAGGGGAGACUGGAAUUCCUGGUGUAGCGGUGAAAUGCGCAGAUAUCAGGAGGAACACCGAUGGCGAAGGCAGGUCUCUGGGCCACUACUGACGCUGAGAAGCGAAAGCAUGGGGAGCGAACAGG
rnacentral:rRNA from 1 species